rnacentral:rRNA from 1 species
GAUGAACGCUGGCGGCGUGCCUAAUACAUGCAAGUCGAGCGAACGGACGAGAAGCUUGCCUCUCUGAUGUUAGCGGCGGACGGGUGAGUAACACGUGGAUAACCUACCUAUAAGACUGGGAUAACUUCGGGAAACCGGAGCUAAUACCGGAUAAUAUUUUGAACCGCAUGGUUCAAAAGUGAAAGACGGUCUUGCUGUCACUUAUAGAUGGAUCCGCGCUGCAUUAGCUAGUUGGUAAGGUAACGGCUUACCAAGGCAACGAUGCAUAGCCGACCUGAGAGGGUGAUCGGCCACACUGGAACUGAGACACGGUCCAGACUCCUACGGGAGGCAGCAGUAGGGAAUCUUCCGCAAUGGGCGGAAGCCUGACGGAGCAACGCCGCGUGAGUGAUGAAGGUCUUCGGAUCGUAAAACUCUGUUAUUAGGGAAGAACAUAUGUGUAAGUAACUGUGCACAUCUUGACGGUACCUAAUCAGAAAGCCACGGCUAACUACGUG